GCCUUCCCAGCCAUGCAGCACUCUGUAGGCUAACCCAAGAAGAAUAAAGCAUCGGCUUCCCUGACAUGCUGCUCCCCCCAAAACAGAGUGCCAAUAUGAUUCCAAGGUUCUUAGCACACUGUAUAUUACCUCACUCCUCCUACAGGUAAGUAGAAGUUCAGGGCCAUUGAAGAGAUUAAUAAGGGCUGUUGGGAGUUGGAAAAGUCAGAAUGGACUGAACUAAAGUGAGAAGGCAGAGGUUGAGAAAGAGACAGUCUUGGGGAUUUGUGAGCCCAGCAGAAGCUCAGGUUAAAUUUGUUUACUGAUGAGUUGCCUGCAUGGUGCACUUCAUGAGACUGGAAGGCAAGGCUGCCUAGGAGCAACAUGAGACUUGGGGGUCUAUGUUAGACCUGAAGGACUGGAGACACCUGCCUUCAUUCAAAAUGGACUAGGCUGCCUUAGACAGUGUACAUCUCAGCAGUGACAGUGAUGGACCAAAGACCCUCUGUAUAAGUUCAAAGACUCUGAUUGGACUGUACAAGUAGAGUGAGCCUGCUCUCCAGUAAUGAUUUCGGGCGUCUCAUUAACCUGGGAAGUAGGGACUUAGAGGUCCCCAUUUUAAAAGUUAUAAAAUUUUUCUUGCAUGGAGUGCUGUGGCUUGGAUUCACAUCAUUCUAUAUGGCAGUCAUAAAUCAAAAUUAUUAGCGUUUGCAGAAGACUAGUUUGGCAUUUUAUUUAUAAGUUUAGUGGACACACAAUAAUUUGGCUUUUACUCAGUGAGAUACUAGGAAUUCCUGCCAGAAUCAUCAGUUUUGAUUGGAGUUUUCCGUGGUUUUCAACUACUAAUAUUCUAGCUUUUUAGUUACAAGUUAUUAUUGGUUUUGCUUCAUCUUUAUCAUUUUAAUUUGCUGUGAUUUGCCCAGUUAGCCUGUGAUAGUAUAUAUUUUCAUCAACAGAGUUUUACCCUAUAACUUCCUGAUAUAUAGAUUUUUAGACAUCUGUUGAUAGCUUGAAUAUCAUUCAGUCCCUACUGUUCAUAUAAUCAGUGGCACCCCCCUAUCAGCUUCUAAAGUGGUAUUUUAUUCUAAUCAUCAUUUUUUUUUUUCUGCUAGAAACUCGGAAUGAGUGGGGUACGUGAACUAAGGGGUUCUCUGCUUAGCCAGUGGGCCUUGAUCAUAGUUUGGCAAUUGCUACUCGGAGGCUAUAACAUCCCUGUAGCCUCUGAGGCCCAUGGCUUCCUCCCUACUUAUUCUUUUCCUUACCUUUUAUCUUUGGAAGCUCUAGGAACAAGAGAUGAAAUCCUAGUUUAUCACUUUCAGUGUUGGAACCAUAUAUUUUGCAGUUGUCAUAUGAAGAUACAAAGAAGUACCUGAUGAUUUAGAUACACUGAAAAAGAGUCUUGAUGUGUCGGCAGCAAAAAUACAGUAAACUAAACUACCUUUGAUGAUAAUUUAUAUAAGAUUUCAUUUCUUCCUUGCAAGUAGGCUGUUUUCUAGUAUUGAUGUUGAAUUAGAUUUUUAGGGUAGUGUUUUAAAACUAGGAAAAAGACUUUUUAAUACUUAAACAUUCAGAAACUAGUGUCAUCAAUGUCAUUGUGCCCACCACUCACAAUGAAUAAAUGUUAACAUUUUAUAAUAUUCCCUUCAUUUAUAUUUGUAAAACUGAAAUAUUACUGAUCCAGCUGGAGCCUCUUUGUACCUGGUCCUAUUUUCCUCCUUCUCCAGAGACAACUGUGCUCAUGAUUUUGGUAUGUAUCUGACUUCUAGUAUGUGCUUCCAUACUUUGACUACACAGGUAUUUAUCCCUAAACAAGUGUUGCUAUUGUAUGUUUUUAAACUUACUUAAAUGGCACUGUAAUGUAUACAUCAGUCUGUAACUUUGAUUUUUCAUUUAGUAUUAUGAUUUUGAGAUUUAUCUUUACACACAGAUCUAAUUGUUCAUUUCAUCUAGUUCACUCAUUCUAGGAGACAAAGACACAUGUAGAGUAUUUCUUUAAGUAAAUAUUCUCCUAUGGAUGGCCCAAUUAAAAUGUACAGUAUUCUAUAAGUUAUCAGCUUAGCUACUGUCACUUGCUGGAAGCUUUUUCUAUUUCUGUCUUUCUCUCACCAUUAGAGUGUAGUAGAGGCCCUUCCUCUUCCUGGUCCCCUGUGCUCAUGUGUGUUAUAGACUCCACCACAUAUUGUUGAAAAAUGUCCUCCUUUGCCUUAGACUGUGGACUCAUCAACAUCAGGGACCUGUAAUCUGUUCAUAAUGUUCAUGGUGUAGCCCCCAGGUCAGUGCUGUGCAGGAGACAAUGCUGGCACAUUUUGAUGAACAGAUGAAUAAAUGAUUCUAUGUCAUGGAGUAAGCUAUGUCAGUGAUUUAUUGAUGUAGCUUAAAAUCAAAGUCCCAAGUAAGUACUUUUUUUUUU
rnacentral:lncRNA from 10 species